GGGGCGGAUCAGAUGGCUGCCGGGCAUGGCCCGGAGGAAAGUCCGGCCACCACAAGGCAGGAAAGCGGGCAACGCCCGCCGGAGGCGACUCCAGGGGCAGGCAACAGAGAGCAGACCGCCGUUCCCGCGAGGGGACGGUAAGGGUGAAAGGGUGGGGUAAGAGCCCACCGCGCCGGCGGUAACGUCGGCGGCACGGCGACUGUCCUUCCGGUGCAAGCGCAAAUAGGGGGCGAGAAGACCAUCCCUCGAGAUGGCCGGCGCGGGGCCGCCUGUCCCGCCAAAAGCCCCGGGUAGCGUGCUAGAGGCGGGCGGCGACGCCCGUCCCAGACAAAUAGCCAUCCUCGACAGAAGCCGGCUUAUCGAUCCGCCACGCGG
rnacentral:RNase_P_RNA from 1 species